AGAGACAAGUUUCAGGAAAUGUACAACCUUCCCACCAAGGAACCUCUGCUUUUCCACUCUCCAUUCAUGACCACCCACCCAGCUUUCCAGAUGCUGAACAUGGUGCAGGCAUGAUCCUGGAGCACUGCAUGUCCAGUAGCUAAGACAACUACAUCUGUGUUCAGUUUUCUGCCUCCGCAGAAUCCAAAGGCAGUCACUACUCUUGCCAGCCUGCCCAAGUGUCUGGACUUGAGGCCACCUGAGCUGUCUGAGAGCGCCCCACAGAUGGGGAGGCAGAACAAUGCCAAACAUCAUGGAAGCCUGAUUCUGGACAACCAAAUGCCCAAUACUCAAACCAACCGCAUGUGUUUCAGAAUUCUACCUCUAGAGAAUCAAAAGGCAGUCUGAACCUUUAAGAGCUGUCCUUUAAUGUGGGCUUUGGGCUAGCUGUGCCACUUGAAAGUGACCCAGAUGUGUGAAGGUGGCAUAAGUUUCCUUUCACCAGGUAAGCCAAUUUGGCCUGGAGUGUCAGUUGCGACCUGUAAGCAACCCCUCCUGGCAGGACAUCUCCUGGGGUACCCAGCAUCCCCAUCUGCAACCACAUCUCAGCCUAGCAGUGCCAACACCAAGCAGCUGCUGUGCUUGGAUGGCACUUCAGCGCCCUCCGGCGGCCAUUCCCUCCAAUGACAACUCAGAGCACUUCCUCCUGCCUCCUGAACAAACCCAAGGACUGCCCUGGCUGGGAUAGCUGAUUUAGUUCCUCUUCUAAGAAGAAUCAAGAGCUGUCCAGAGCGUGUACUUUCCCCCUUCAAUUCAGCUGUGGCUCUCACUCCUCCCCAUCCUUCACCAUUCCUCUUAGUCAAUCAGCCACGGCCACUCUGAAUCAGGUGAACUUUUAAAAAUUAAUUAUCCUCCCCUCCUAAUUUACAUGACUUUUCUUGAGUCAUAUUUUUCCUCAGGGGUGAUCCAGAGGAGGGAGAGGCUCAAAUGGGAGAAAAAGAAGAAAUUUUUCAGAGAACCAAGAGACAGGUCUGUAGGAUCGUCACAGCCUGCCCACCAAGGAAACUCUGCUUUUUACACUCUUCAUUCAUGACCACCAGUCCAGCUUUCCAGACCCAGUGUGCAAGUCUGAUCCUGGAGCAGUGCUUGCCCAAUAUUCAAGCCAACUCCUCUUGUGUUGAUUUCCCUCCUCCUCUCACUCUAAAAACCACCACAGGCCUUAUAUGAGACAGUGAGCUCUGUCAAAAUCUCCCAGCACAGUCCUUUCUCCCUGUCCACCACUACGAGGCUGGUUGAAACUUGCCCUGCCUCCAGGACAGGCCCCAAACUCACCCUCCCCAAGGUUACUGGAGUGACCCAUAUCUGGUAUCGAGGCACAUGUUCAGGUCAAGACUGGCAAACUGAUUUUACAGUAAUGCUCUGGGCACAAGGAAAUUUUAGAUGUUUGUGGGUUUUGACUGACACCUUCUCAGACUGGAUGGAGUCAUUUCUCACCUGAACUGAGACUGCCUUGGAGGUUUCUAAGACCUUUCUCAAGGAAAGAAUUCCCUGUUUGGGCCCCCUAAGUCCAUCAAGAGGGACAAUGGGCCUGCCUUUGUUCCCCAAAUUACUAAGGGAGUCUCUAGAGCUCUAGGAAUUACAUGGGGUUUACCCUCCACUUGGAAACCACAAUCCUCAGGAAAGUAGAACAAAUCAAACCCUCAAAAGGAACUCCUGGAUUUCCCACUGUGGCUCACAAGGAGAAGGUAGUUCUGGAUCGUCGCGUGGUGUAAAGCUGUGAUUAUUUCCCCCUCUCUGAAAGGCAUAUUUCUAUUGGUCCAUAUCCCCCAGGGUGGUCUCAGAGCCAGUUCCUUCAGGAAUGUGCCUCCCAUACAUGGUCUCAUAUGGACUCAACAUGAUUUUUCCUUUAGGGACUAUUCGCAUUCGUACAAGUGCUAUGGGGAAAAGGGAGAUCAAGCCUUGAUGAGUGUCUUGACAUAAUUUGAAUGUUUCCCUUUAUUAUUUAUUUAAUUUUACUUGAGUGUGUGUGUGUGUGUGAGUGAGAGAGAGAGACAGAGACAGAGACAGAGAGGUAUUCAUUUUUUUUCCCAUAUAGGUUAUUACAGAAUAUUGAGUAUAUUCCUCUGUGCUCUGCAACAGAUUCUUGCCCAUUAUCUAUUCUGUACAUUGUAGUGUGUAUAUGCUAAUAUUAUUGUUCCAAUUUAUUCCCACUCCCCAUGGUUUCCCCCUGGGUAACCAUAAGUUCAGUUUUAAGAACUGUGUUUGUUUCCAUUUUAUAAGGAAGUUUUGUAUAAUUUUACUAGAUUCCACAUAGAAGUGAUCUCAUAAGAUAUUUGUCUGAUUUACUUGGUAUGUUAAACUCUAGGUCCACCCAUGUUGCUGCAAAUGGCAUUAUUUCAUUCUUUUUACAGCCAAGUAACAUUCCAUGAUAUAUACCACAUCUUUAGCCAUUCCUCUGUCAAAGGACAUUUACGUGGCUUCUAUGUCUUGGAUAGUGUCAGUAGUUCCACAAUGAAUAUUGGGGUGCAUAUAACUUUUCCAAUUAUGGUUUUCUCCAGAUAUAUGUCCAGAAGUUUCUUUUUUUGUUUUUUGUUUUUCUUUUUAGGGCUGCAUCUGAGACAUAUGGAAGUCCCCAGGGUAGGAGUCAAAUAGGAGCUGCAGCUGUUGUCCUAUACCACAGCCACAGCAAUGCCAGAUCCCAGCUGCAUCUGCAACCUGUGCUGCAUCUUGCAGCAAUUCUGGAUCCUUGCUUAAAUGAUGCCCCAUUUGUGCACAAUGCACACUAGGCUGGUAAGUUCUAGGAACCUAGGUAUAACCAUAAUAUCAUCCAGCACUGAGAUAAAGGGGCAAAAAGAUUCCCUCCAGCAGGAGUAGGGAUUGCUCUUGGACUAGAGCAAGGGGGAUUUGGUGCCCCCCUGGGGAGGUUCUGCAUACCAUGAAAUCACUGUACAAAUCCUUACAUGAGCCCCUGAGGACUUGCCUAAAAGCACGAGGGAUGCUUUAUUUCAUGCUUAUCUGGACUCAGUAGAAAAUAUUGUACUUGACAAUAGGCUAGCCCUUGACUACUUCCUGGCUGAGCAAGGGAAAUUCUGCAUAGUUAUUAAUAAAACCCACCACAUGCAUGGGAAUAACUCUGGUCAGAUUGAGGUAACCAUAAAAGAGAUGUAUAAGCAAGCUCAAAGGGCACAAAGGUAUCCCCCCAAAGGUCCCAAUCCAAGCUCCAUCUGGAAUAAGGUCAAAGAGAGCCUUUCUAGUUUAAACUGGUUUCUUCCAUUUCUUGGCACACUGACUGCAAUUAUCCUCCUGUUCAUCUUUAGGCCUUGCUUCCAUAACUGCCUUGUCAACUUCAUUAGUAAAGAACUUGAAUUCCUCAAACUUCAGAUGAUACUAACACAAGGGUACAAGAACUGAGAGUGCAGCCUUGUGAAGCUCAGGCUUAUGUUAGACGGGGCAGGGACAGUUCUGCACUUCUAAUCCAGGGGAAACCUAUGCCCAUGUUCAGCAGGAAGCAGCCCCAGAAGACAGACCUUCCUCCUCAAGAAUGGGGAGUAGUGACGAGGAAAGGGGGUGUUGUUGCCAGAGCCGACAGCAGAUCCUUGCCAAAGCCUGCGAAACCCUCCUUGAACUGGAGUUAUCGUGUGUUGAGAAGUGAAAGGUCUGGAGACAAGAAGAGGAAGCUAUAGGAAGAGACAAACCAGACGGAACCAGGUGGAAUCAGGAUGAUGACGACUCUGGCCUCCCCAGACUCCGAGUCUCAUUCAACAGAUUUUGCCACAUUAGCUACUAGAUGACACACCUACUGGUGGUCGUGACUGGAAGAUGCUGACCAAAAAA
rnacentral:lncRNA from 1 species